rnacentral:lncRNA from 1 species
UUUCUUUUCUUUCUUUCUUUCUUUCUUUCUUCUUCUUUCCUUUUCUUUUCUUCCUCUCUCUCUUUCUCUCUCUCUGUCUCUGUCUCUCUCUCUCUCUUUAUUUCUUUUUACAUUUCUUUUUAUUGUGUCUACGAGAUGACAGUUGUUAACUAAACUUAGACUGGUGAUAUCACCACCCAGUAUAUGUGAGUCAAACCCUGUGUCUGUACACCUGAAACUCAUACAGUAAUGCAGAUCAAUUAUAUCAAUGAACCUGGAAAAAACCAGGCCAGUUUUUACAUGCAUUCACCUAAAGAAAAGCUCUAAAUGAUAAGAUUGUCAAAUUCUAGAAAAUAUUGGCUUCAAGUUUUAUGCUUUACUUUUUGCAGUGUCUGUGAUCCAAUUAAGUGAUGAGAGAACAAAAUAAAACUGUAGCAUAUUUACACAGAAAUAAGGGAGUAUUCGUGUCCUGUUGCUAUUGUAACAAAUCACAGCAGACCCAGAAGCCUGAAACAGCAGAAAGUUAUUCUCACACAGUUCUGGAGGCCGGGCCAUCACCAUCCAUCUCUCUGGGCUGGAGUGAAGGUGUCCGCAUGGCUGCGCUUCCUUGGGAGCUUCUAGGAGAGAAUCCUUUCCCUACCAACUUCUGCUGCUGCCCACACUCCUUUGCUGUGGCCACACCAUCCUCACCUGUGCCUGCCCCUCCUCGCAUCAUGCAGCCUCUUUGAAUUCUUCUCCUUGUGCCUUUCUCUCAUAAGGAUGCAUGGAUGUGUUGGCCUCUAGACCCACUCAGAUAAUCUGGAAUAAUCUAAUCAGGUAAGAUCCCAAAUUUAAUCACUGGUGCAAAGACCCUUUUUUCUUUGUAAGGUCACAUUUACAGGUUCCAAGGGUCAGGACCUGGUAUCUUUGGGGGCCACUCUUCAGCCCGCCACAUAAGAGAUUCAGAAAUCAAAUGAGGAAAGGUUUUGUCACCUAUGGAGCCUGACCAGAGGCUGAGCCCGAGAAAGAAACCAGAGCGUGUGGCUCAGAUCUCUGGUCUGUGCCACACUGGUUUGUGGCCACUGCAGAAUCCAGGGGUGGCAAGAGUCCUCCGCCGUAACCUCCCUUCUUUUUAUCUGUUUUGCUGAUGGGUUUGAAAUACUCAGUGGAAAUAACGAUCUCCUUAUAAAACACGACCGUAACUUUUAUAAAAUGUGUAGAGUUCGUUUCUGAGAUAGAAACUACUUCUCCCUUCUCGGUGGACAGAAUAACUGUUUCUUAAUUUAUAAACCAGGCGCUGAGUCUGGGUUGAGUCACCGUCAUUGUUCUUACAUUGGAACUGGCCAUUUUGCUAACGAAAGUCCAGAAAAUCUCCGGGUGCGUGGGCUGAUCCCAAGCUGGCAUUUAGAUGCCUGAUAAGCCGAGGAGGAGAAAGCGCGUAGACAGUGGGCUUGAUUGCUCUCCCCGCCUGCACCUCUCCCCCACAAUCCACUAUGAAUCACGCUGGAUUAACAACACAGCCGAGACAAAGACACUGAAUUAUAUUAGCAUUCGCCUGCAAAGAAAUUACGUCCAAGGCCCUCCGUGAAGUUACUUUGGAAAAGUCUCGUCUUGCGAGCCAAUCUGCGUGUAACAAAAUGAGGGCAAGGGUCAGAGAGAAACAAAGAAUGUUUUUGUGACACGCUGCAGUCAGCACAGAGUUUAUGUGGCAGAUGUUCAUCCUGCCACCCAAUACAGAUGACUUCAUACGUGGGGGGGGGGACUCUGCUCACCACCGGCGUCCCUCCCUCCGCGACGACAUCAUCACCACCUCUGGAGGGCAGUUUUUAUGAGCAGCGUGGAACACUGUGAGCACAGUCGUGACCGGGUGUGUUUUUACCCAGUUUGGUUGCUCUAAGGCAAUCCCAAAUGGAUUUUGUUUUCGUUUUCUGAAUCCACAUUCUAAUGCGGGAGGAAAAGGAAUGAUGUCUGGGUCUACAUUUUUAAUUCGUGCUUUAGGUACCUUUCCCUGUAUGCUUUGUCUCCUGUAAUUCGCACCAUUAAUUUCAUAUGCACUAAUAUAGAACAAACCUACAGCCAUGUGAAAGUGUUAAAGUAAAUUGGAUUUAAAAAUAAAAUAAAAUGUAAAUCGCUUAUAAAAACUUGUUUUAGAGUUCUGGUCCCAGUUCGCUUUCCUCCCCCGUGGCCAACUUAAAACCGGCAAAAAGAAUGAGCAUUAGAGAAGAAAAUAACGGUUUUCGUUGAAAAUGCAAAAGUAACUGCCAAGUAUAACCAACCCGGGGUCAGAUUGAGACACGACACCAGAAAGCAUAUGCAACCCCCGCCCCACAGGUCUUUUCUAGCCUACAGUUUUCCAUAAAAGGGUAACAACCCUCCCCGUCCAACCGUAGGUCCUGGCCUGAAGCAUCCAUACCUGGCACCGCAGGUGAGACAGGUCGGAAGAAAACCAUCCAGAUGCCCAGUCUUUCCUCAAAGUGCAGGGGUCGGAGAAGGAAUCUUCAUGGCAGUCGGCUCAGUAUCAGCUGCUCUGAUACCCCAAGUACCCUGGCACCUCAGGGCUUUGCUCCACACAGGCCUGCUUACCAUGAUACGGACCACCGAGAUCAGUAAGCAGAUCCCAUCCUUGCUCGGGGGAUGUGGAGUGUUGAGAAAAUCCUUCCAACAACUCCCGAGUUAGGCUACUGCUCUCAUUCCUCCAUCUAUCUUUCCCCCAACACCGUUCUUAGCAAAUAGCUCAUCCAGAGGGAACUGUUCUCCUGAGCUGAGAAAUUCUCCAGGAAGAGUGUGGCAACAAGCAGGAGGGCAGGUGAAGAAUAUCUAUCAGAAGUAAAAGAAAAUUGUGGAUGCACUUUUCUCU